AUGUGGGGGUGCACCAUGGCGAUACAAGGUUCAAUGGUGAGCCUGGCUUUACUGUUCUUUGGGAUUCAAGCUGUCCCUAACCCCACCAGCAAACUAGUGAGGACCACAAGGGUGAGGCGACAGGUUCCCGAAGGUGGGGGUCCGUCUAGCAACCAGACCCAGGCCAUGAUCUUCAAUCAUGUAUACAACAUCAAUGUACCUCUAGAGUCACUCUGUUCAGUGGACCUAGACACGGUACCAGGGCCAGGGACAAACAAAGGUACAGCUGGGAGUGACAAGAUGCCGACAGAGUACACAGAAGAGACAGUGGACUCGGACAGCCAGGUGACCUUCACCCAUCGCAUCAAUAUCCCAAAGCAGGCCUGUGCUUGUCCUGUGGCUGUGGCCAUGGAACAGCUGGCUAACCGUAUAGAGAUGCUGGAGAGGGAGGUAUCCUUGCUUCGAGCACAGUGUAGCUCCAGCUGCUGUCAGUUCGACUUCGUCCCUCAGUGUGGCCAUGGCACGUUCAGCAUGGAGGUUUGUGGGUGUGUUUGUGAAGAAGGAUGGAUUGGCAAGAACUGCUCUGAAGCCCGCUGCCCAGAUGACUGCUCUGGCCAGGGCAUUUGCAUCGAAGGCGAGUGUGUAUGUGACCAUAACUUUGGCGGUGAGAACUGCUCGGAGCCUCGAUGUCCAGAAGGAUAUGCAGGCGAUGACUGUGCUUCAGGUCAGUGGCAUUGCUAUUUAUUGUCAAUAUAUUAUUUUGUGUCACCUCCUAUGAACCUGCAAGUUCAGGGAGUAUCAGAGAAUACCAUUGAUCUGGAGUGGGAGGGGCCUGUGAUCCUGACAGACUAUCUCAUCACUUAUGCCCCCACAACCCCUGGUGGAGUCCAACUAGAGAUCAGAGUCCCAGGAAAUGUUACCAACACCACCAUCAAAGAAUUGGAGCCGGGUCUGGAAUACAACAUCAAUGUGUACGCAGUGAUCGACGACAUCAUCAGUGCCCCACUGAACACCUUAGUCUCCACCUAUCUCUCGAAUCCAGACGGUUUACUCUUCAAAUCCAUCAUGGAGACGUCCGUGGAGGUUCAGUGGCAACCCUUAGACUACUUGUUUGAUGGUUGGGAAAUAAGCUUCAUUCCCAAGGACAAUGAUGGAGGGAUGACAGCACAACUACCCAGUACCAUCACGUCGUUCCACCAAACAGGGCUGCGGCCUGGGGAAGAAUACACUGUCAACCUGGUGGCCUUGAAAGACCAGGGAAGGAGCCAGCCUGUUACUGCAACCGUUAUAACACUGAUUGAUGGGCCAACACAACUUAUUGUACGAGAUGUCUUAGACACGGUUGCCUUUGUGGAGUGGAGCCCACCCAAGGCUAAAGUGGACCAGAUCAUAUUGCGGUAUGGGUUGGUAGGGGUGGAUGGACCAAAGACAACAUUUCGCCUGCAGCCUACUCUGAGCCAGUACUCCCUCCAAGUCCUGAGGCCUGGAUCCACGUAUGAAGUAUCAGUCAGUGGAGUCCGGAAUGGCACUGAGAGUGGAGCCAUUUCCACAGAGUUUACCACAGAAAUCGAUGCACCAAAGAACCUGAGAGUUCUGUCAAAAACUUCCACUAGCCUGGAGCUGGAAUGGGACAAUAGUGAGGCAGAUGUAGAAGGCUACAGGGUGGUUUACAGCACACUGGCUGGUGAUCAGUAUGAUAAAGUCAUUGUCCCACUCAACGAUGGCGCCACCACCAAAACUACUCUCACUGAUUUACUCCCUGGCACAGAGUAUGGCAUAGGAAUUUCAGCAGUUCUAGGUGCCAACCAAAGCACCCCAGCUACGAUGAAUGCCAGAACGGGUCUGGAUGUCCCCUUGGAUUUGACUGUCACAGCCUCCACAGACAACACCAUCACCCUGUUGUGGGGGACAGUGCAGGGGCCUAUUGAUCACUAUAGGGUGACCUACACUUCCUCCACUGGAGUGACAACUGAGCUGACGGUGCCCAAGGAUGUCACCACCACCACACUGACAGGUCUAGAGCCAGGCACUGAGUACACCAUUACAGUUGCAGCACAGAGAGGCAGGCAGAAGAGCACUGCAGCCACUAUUGAUGCCUUCACAGGGUUCCGCCCUAUCACACAGUUCUUCUUCUCUGAUGUCACUUCUGAUUCACUGACUGUGGCAUGGAGUGCACCGGCACCGCCUGCUGACGCAUUUAUCUUGAACUACAAUGCUCAGGACUCCACUGAUGAUUCUGAGAUUCCUCUAGACGGGUCCAAAACCAGAAUCACCCUCACUGGUCUCCUGCCCUCCAGGCGGUACACUGUUACCUUGGUUACCAUGCAUGGCAAUGUGACCUCAAAGCCAGUUAUUGGCUCAGUCACAACAGGAAUGGACCCUCCCCGAGAUAUGACUAUGCUGUAUGUCACAGAAGACUCUGUAACCAUUUCAUGGAUUCAACCAUACGCACCCUUUGAUUACUACAAAAUGUCUUACCAAUCACCAAAAGGUAGGAUGGACAAUGUGGUGAUUGACAAUGAUGUCACCAACUACACCUUAACUAGCCUUCAUCCAGCAACAGAGUAUGAAAUCAAGCUGAACGCAGUGAGGGGAAGCCAAGAGAGCAAGGUCAUCACCACUACUGUCUUCACAGGUAUUUCUUCACUUGCUUUUGCACUAAUGGAUGUUAUCUUUCCAGUUAUGGCAGACACCUUCUUAGUGGAGGGUAACAAGCAGGAGUACCAGCUGGGUCAACUCAUCCCCAGCACCACCUACUCAGUGGCUCUUUAUGCCACUAAAGGUCCUCUCACCAGUGGCACCGUCAUCACCAACUUUGUCACACCCAUGGAUGCGCCCCAGAACCUGACAGCUAGUGAGAUUAACCAUCGAAGUGCCCUCAUAUCCUGGCAGCCGCCCCUCGCAGACAUCGAUAACUACAUGCUGACCUACAAAGCAGCGGAUGGCAGUCGAAAGGAGCUGAUCUUAGAGGCCGAAGACACAUGGAUCCGUCUCGAGGGGCUGGCGGAGACCACUGAAUAUACAGUGAGAUCGCAAGCCGCAAGAGGAUUAGAGACCAGCGCCAUUGUUUCUACAACUUUCACAACAGGAAACCGAUUGUUUCCUACGCAAAAGAAUUGUUCGCAGCACCUUCUGAAUGAAGAGACGCUGCGUGGAAUUUACACCAUCUACAUCAACAGAGACUUCAGCGAAGGUGUGCAGGUUUACUGCGACAUGACCACCGACGGAGGCGGCUGGAUAGUGUUCCAGCGACGUCAGAAUGGUUUGACUGAUUUCUCCAGGAAGUGGAGUGACUACAAGAUCGGCUUUGGCAACCUGGAGGAUGAAUUCUGGCUCGGCUUGGACAACAUUCAGAAGAUUGCAGCUCAAGGUCGUUACGAGCUCCGCAUUGACAUGAAAGAUGGCCAGGAGUCUGUAUAUGCCAACUAUGACAGGUUUUCCAUUGGAGAUUCCAAGAGCCUCUACAAACUGAGGAUAGGAGAGUAUAAUGGCACUGCAGGGGACUCUUUGAACUACCAUCAGAGCAGACCUUUCUCUACCAAGGACAAGGACAAUGAUAUUGCUGUCACCAACUGUGCAUUGUCCUACAAGGGAGCCUGGUGGUACAAAAACUGUCAUCGGGCCAACCUUAAUGGCAAAUAUGGAGAGUCCAGACAUAGUCAGGGUAUAAACUGGUAUCACUGGAAAGGCCAUGAGUUUUCCAUCCCUUUUGUGGAGAUGAAGAUGAGACCUUUCAACUACCGCAGCAUCAGUGGCAAGCGGAGGAGGUCCACCCAUUAAUCUACCGUCCUACUAGCUGUUUCUAUUUUUAAACAGGGUGAGGAGGACAGAAGGAGCGAUGUAACUUAUUUAAAUCUUUGAAUGACAAAAUCCCUUUGACGAAUGUCUGAUGUAAAUUGUAAACCUUGAGGUUCAGUGACUUUCUUAUGUGUAAUGCUAUUUGUUCAGUUCUGAGAGAUUGAAGACUAGGUAAGGUUUGGUAUUUUUAGCAUGUGUGCAGUAUGAGGCCUGUGGAAAGAACCUCAUCAUUAAGUGAAGAAAAGAGAUAAUUUCUCCCUUUGAGAUUAAAGAUUUUAGAAGAAAAUUAAUGCCCGUUAAAACGAGAUGCUUAUAUUUUUAUAAAUGAUGAGAAAUGCCUUUAAAAAAGUAACUGAAUGAUUUUUGGUCAGUUUUGAUUCAUGUUCAUGUGACCCAUUACAGUGUUAUAUUUUUCAUUUACUGCCCCCUGAAGCCAACAAUAUUUGUUUAAUUGUUUGUAUUUUCAUCUCAUAUUUAAACUUACAUUAACAGUUGGCCAUUGUACUGUUUCAGCAUUGUAACAGAUGAAAUUGCAAAUGCAGGGUUGUCUGGAAAAGAUGAGACAAAAACACAAAAUGUUUUUAUUAUUAUUAUUGAAACCUCAGAAACCAAAGAAUUAUUUAGUAUCUGAGUUCAAAACAGAUUGAUCUGAAAAAAGGAAUAAUCGCAUGCUUUUCAGUCAUAUAAUGUGCCCCAUGUUUGAUUUUAUUUCAUUUUAAAUUUGACAAUUUUGUGCAAGGCUGAUUAGUAAUACUUUAACAUCAUCUCACAUCAGAGGGUUUUUUUCUUCUUUUUUUUCUUUAGGUAUUAACUGGACUAUGAGCACUGAUAUGUACAUAUGAAAAACUCAAAUGGAGAAUUUUAACAUAGUUAUGUGUCACACUCCAUGCUUUUUAGUGUUUUUGUUCCUGUAGACUUGAAUAAUGGUGUCCAUCUGUGUCUUCGUAAAUCCUCUAGAUUAAUAGCAAUUCAUAAGUGAGUG
ensembl:lncRNA